rfam:Xenopus tropicalis strain Nigerian scaffold_3048_contig_1, whole genome shotgun sequence.
GGCUCUGUGGCGCAAUGGAUAGCGCAUUGGACUUCUAGGUGAAAGAAGAAAUUUAAAGGUUGUAGGUUCGAAUCCCAUCAGAGUCA